rnacentral:lncRNA from 1 species
UCACCAUGUGAGACAUGGCUUUCACCUUCCAUCAUGAUUGUGAGGCCUCCCCAGCCACAUAGAAUGGUGUCAUGAGAGCCACCCUUCCCAAAGUAGCACUUGUGAGCAGAGGUGAUCAGAGGGCUUUCUGAAGAGUGAGGAGUGACUUCAGAGGGCCAAAAAGAAGAAAAGGGAGUGAGACAGUCGUUAAGACUCCUAAUCCCGGCUUAUUUUUACUGCUUCUCAACACAGCAUUGCAAGUGGCUGAUUUGAUGGAUGUGGCACGUGACCAAGUUCUGGCUAAUGAGAUGUCUGAAACUUAAAGUGGAAGAGAUGUAUCAUCUCCUUUUCCUUGCUCCAUCCUGCUACCUGAAAAAUGGAUGUGGUGACAAGCCCUGGAAAACCACAAGGAUGAGAACAGCACUGGAGAGAUGGUGCAGCGCAUGAUGCAAUUGCCUAGGUAUCUGAUGGCUGAGUAGAAUUUCUCUCCUCCGACUUUUACAUGGGAAGGAAAUAAAACUCUAUUUUGUUU